UUAAUUGGAACCAAAUAGAGGUGAAUUAUUGUUAAUAAUUUUAUUAAAAUUUUUAUAUUUUCAAUUAAU
rnacentral:tRNA from 1 species